UUUUCUGGCCUCUUAGCUUUAUAUUCCGAGAAUCGGGGGAAUACGAUGAGGGAACCGAGGGUGGGAGAUCGUAGUGUCUUGCGAUCGUUGUUUACUUAGUGUCCUCAUCCCUUCAUGCCUUCUUUGUUCUUCUCUCCUUCUCCCCCGGUUCGUUAUUGCACGAGUUACUACGCAGUAGACAACACGUUAGUGUUAAGAAUUUCCGGACUACUUCUUCAAAAUCGCAAGACCACAUCAUAGAAAACAGUGUUUGUAGUGAAGUUUUCUUGCAGUCCAGACGACCUUCGAAUCCUCCUUAAAUCGCGGGUAUUCGCUAUGGCCAAGGUAGUCUACUGUGCCAUCUGGCAUCAUUCAAAAAAAAUACAUGAACUCUGCCUACUAUCCGAAUUACGGCACAAGCAAUGCAACGGUGGACAACAAUUAUCUGAGGAAGAUCUUAAAUCGCUAAUACAAGAUAAAAAAUCAUGUCGAUUGAUUUCAUCAGAGGGCAAAGUACUAUCUGUUGCAGUUUUGAAAUCAUCUGAAAACAAAGAAGAUAUUGAUAACUACCUUGUGGCAUCAAAACGAUUACCAAAGCCACCUAGACAGAGUUUCGAGCUAGUCGAAGAUGAGAUUCCUGUUGCAAAAAAAAAGACGAAAAUUUCAAAGAAGCAAGCCGUGAUGGGCAGGCAACGAAAGGCACUUUCUUAUUCUCGUGAGAAAGCUGUACGAACUGCAAAUUCCGUCAGGAGCUUAGACUCUCUUGUGAUGACUACGGGAUUUGAGAGGAUGCCCGACAAUGAACAUGGUAUGGACUUGUUACAAAACAUCACCGAAACCAAUUCUCCGACUCCUGAGGGACCUAAAACUCGUGCGAAGAAGAGGAAGCAGACGACGGAGAGCAGAGCAAGUUACAACCCUAAAAAAUUCAAGGGGAACGCUCAAGAUAAUGAGAGACAGCUCCAUAAAAACAAAGAAUUAAAGUGCAAUCAGAAUGAAAAAAAUAGUGACCCUCCGUCUCACGAAUUGAACAGAAUAUGUUCAAUUAACUCUUCAAAAAACCUAAUCGACAAGCCAAAUAAGGGUAGCUUUAAUAGCAUCUCAAUUACUUCCGUGCAAACAACCAGUCUGGUGAGUCCUGAAGAACAGGAAACAUUAUCAGGCAGCGACAAUUCCCUUGACAGAGAAAUUAACAGAAUCCUCGCGUAUAGAAAGCCCAUAAAACAUCCAUCCAGGAAAAACGACGACAAUGAAAAAUUUACUUGCAAACCUGGAAAAUAUCUACAUGAUAAAAUCUCCUCAACUCGUCCAAGCAUAAGGCAGAAACUUUUGAUGAAACCCAAAGUAACAAAUAUCUACGAUUUUACAAGUGAUGAAAUUGUCACCAUGAACAAGCUGCGUAAUAAUCGCGUGGUAAGACUCAGGAAUGCUAAUGAGGAGGCUAACAAAGGUAAAGGGGCUAAAAGGGAGGACGACACUUCUGCGCAAUACUCAAAAUUUGAUAAAUUGAAGAUAAACGCUGUGACAAAUGUUGAGCCGGUAGAGAUUGCGCUAACCGACGAGGAGUUACCCUUAACAAAGUCAUCGCUUGAUUUUGAAGAAAAGGAGCCAAAGGAUCAACGUGAAUCGUCCGUGGGAAAAUCUCAUGUAGGAGUAUCUAAAGAAAGUAGGGACCAUGCAAGGCAUAAGACGGUAGACGGAGAAAGGUUAUCCAAUCCUACACGUCCUGACUAUCAACAAUUGCUUGAGGAGAACGAGGCAUUGAAAGAAAGACAAAAAAAAUACGACAUUAUUUUACAAGAUCUGCCUAUGCCGCCGAAAAUUACGCUCGGCAUAUUCAAGGAUUGCAUGAAAGAUCUUUUGGAUAACCAUGGUCGCCCAAAAGUAAAACUUAAUGCUGACCAAAAUGGAAUGGUUCACAUUAGUGAGCGAUUCUCAUUAUCCCUCAGUAAUUGUACUACCUUGAUGGGGUGUAAGUCAGUAACUAAACGCAUCGAUUUUGUCGUGAAACACUUCUGGUCAGAAACAUACAGAAGAAAUCUCUAUACCGAUGUGACGAAGAGGGUCUUAACUGACAAUCCUCAGGCCCACGGAGCCACAGGACCUGAUUUAGCAGCAAUCAAAGGAAGAAUAGUGCAAGGAUCUCGAAAGUGGUCAUCGACUUCCAGAACCCAGAUUAUCAUUUUCUGAACCCAGAUUCUCGAAAUUGGAAGCCGAGUUCUCCAUUCAACUAAUUUGAUUACUGGAAGCCAGUGAUCGCUUUCUGAAUCCGAAUACCAUGCUGACUAAAAGCAACUUCCUCUCUCUACGAUGAAAGUGAAUACUAUUCUAUUGGCAAAAAUCUUCCUUAGGAGGUAACAGAAAGAAAUCAUUCAGUGGACGCAGGAACGUGACCUCCUCGAUACAACCAAAGAAGACAAAAACUGGGAACUCAAUUUCCUAAAAUCUGUG